UAUAUAUAUAUAUAGGUCCGGUCGUUCAAUCGAUUCCAGACAGUGUUACGCAUUGCCCGCUCUCUAGAAAAUAAAGCAGAGUGCCAUUUUAUGGAUAUAACAGUACCUGGUGGGAAUGAUCCUGAGGAAGUGACUCGUGAGUCGCUUAUCGCCAUUUCUUACGAGGAACCAGAAACAGCUCUCUCUUCAAAGCGAUCAUCUGGAAAGCUCAGUAGCGAAAACCUCAAUCUGGUCAACGGGAUAGACCACAGUCUGGUGGAAGGGAAAGAAUACGAUGUAGAGAAAUAUAGAUCUGAGCUGAUAGCCAUUUCCUUUCUUGAGUCACCACCUGAAAUUGGAAGUGGAACCGUGACCGAACUCAAGGGUUAGUGCCUGGACGUCCGUUAUCAUAAAUGUAUACGCUCUUAUGUAAAAAUGGUACUAAUCUAAGUUCAUGGCUGUGUUGUUAUGACUGUAGAGCAAUGCUGUCCGUGUUCGUUGUUUUUGUAACAUAAACCCUCUGCACGGGUUGUCUGUCUGUACUAUCUUGUGGAAACUUAUUGCUGUGUGAACCCAAUGAAUGAACUUGGUACUCAGCAUUUUUCUUAUUCAUUUAUGUCAUUUUAUUGUAAUAUCAUACAGUGGUGCCUUAAAUAUUGUAUAUAGUUUAUACAUUGUAUGUUAAUAGUUUCAAACUAAUUAUUGUUUCAAGUAGUUUAUAGUUAAGAUGAUUGAGUUUAGUACUUGAGGAGAGUCGUUUGAUAUCUAUGCUACUAUUCGGCCGGCUUGGUUAGUUUAGUUGCAUAACAUUGUUAUGUGCUUGUUAUACUGCUCAUUGUUUCUGAGUGGUUCGUUUUUUUAUUGUUAGUGUCAAAAACCUGAUUCCAAACUAUUCUCCUGAUUGAAGUUUGUAAAUCCAGCCAAAAUUUAGCAAAUGGUUGCACAAUUUUCUUGGAGUGCUGAAAGAAUUGAAAAAUGAUCUUUAGUUAUGAAUGAGACAGGUGAAAAAUGGGGCGACAAAAUCUGACUUGCAGAUUGAUGGAGAACGGUGGAAACAACCAGGAUCCUUGGUAGCCUUUCAACAUCAGAUUCACACGAAAUAGAUGCCGUUAAUAGUUCAUUGCAUAGCUUCUGCACAUUUGUCCAAGCUAGAAUAAUAUAGCUUCUGCACGUCGCUUAUUGCCAUCUCUUACGUGGAACCAGUAACAAUUUUCUCUUCAAAGCAAUCAUCUGGAAAGCUUGGUAGCGAAAACCUCAAUCUGGUCAAUGUGAUAGACCACAAUCUGGUGAUCUGAGCUGACAGAUAUUUUCUUCCUCGAGUCACCACCUGAAAUUGGAAGUGGAACAGUGGCCGAAUACAAGGAUUCCAAAUUUUAGCAAAUGGUUGUACAAAGUUCCUGGAAUGCUGAAAGAAUUGAAAAAUGAUCUUUAGCUAUGAAUGAGACAGGUCAAAAAUGAUGGAGAACGAUGGAAACAACCGGAAUCAUCGGUAGCCUUUCCACAUCAGAUUCACAAGAAUUGGGUCAGGAGGCAGUGG